rnacentral:rRNA from 1 species
GUCCCAGUUCGGAUUGUAGUCUGCAACCCGACUACAUGAAGCUGGAAUCGCUAGUAAUCGCGAAUCAGAAUGUCGCGGUGAAUACGUUCCCGGGUCUUGUACACACCGCCCGUCACACCAUGGGAGUCGGAAAUGCCCGAAGUCAGUGACCCAACCGUAAGGAGGGAGCUGCCGAAGGUGGAGCCGGUAACUGGGGUGAAGUCGUAACAAGGUAGC